UACGUAGGGUGCGAGCGUUGUCCGGAUUUAUUGGGCGUAAAGAGCUCGUAGGCGGUUUGUCGCGUCGUUCGUGAAAGUCCAUGGCUUAACUGUGGGUGUGCGGUCGAUACGGGCAGGCUUGAGUUCGGUAGGGGAGACUGGAAUUCCUGGUGUAGCGGUGAAAUGCGCAGAUAUCAGGAGGAACACCGGUGGCGAAGGCGGGUCUCUGGGCCGAUACUGACGCUGAGGAGCGAAAGCGUGGGGAGCGAACAGG
rnacentral:rRNA from 1 species